GAUGAACGCUAGCGGCAGGCCUAAUACAUGCAAGUCGGACGGGAUUCAGGAGCUUGCUUCUGAUGAGAGUGGCGCACGGGUGCGUAACACGUAUGUAACCUACCUUUAUCAGGGGGAUAGCCUCUCGAAAGAGAGAUUAAGCCCGCAUAAAAUCACAGCACAGCACUGUGUAAUGAUCAAAUAUUUAUAGGAUAAAGAUGGGCAUGCGGAACAUUAGCUAGAUGGCGGGGUAACGGCCCACCAUGGCGACGAUGUUUAGGGGAUCUGAGAGGAUGGCCCCCCACACUGGUACUGAGACACGGACCAGACUCCUACGGGAGGCAGCAGUAAGGAAUAUUGGUCAAUGGGCGGAAGCCUGAACCAGCCAUGCCGCGUGCAGGAAGACGGCCCUACGGGUUGUAAACUGCUUUUAUACGGGAAUAAACCCAGAUACGUGUAUCUGGCUGAAUGUACUGUAAGAAUAAGGAUCGGCUAACUCCGUG
rnacentral:rRNA from 1 species